CAAAGGGUCGCUGGUUCCAUACCCAGUCAGGGCUCAUGCCUGGGUUGCAGGCCAGGUUCCCAGUCGGGGGUGUGGGAGAUGCAACCACACAUUGAUGUUUCUCUCCCUCUCUCCCUCCCU